UUGCUUGAGAGUCACUCUGGGGUGUAUUCCAAAAAGCAUGGUUAACUUACCAUCUGCUAAACCCCGAACUUUCGGUUGAUUA